GAAAAAAGAACAAUUGUACUUGAUGGACAACAAUGGAUGUAGGCUAGCAAAAUAGACGUGAUCUAUUUUCGCCUUUUUAAAAUAUCUUCAGAAUUGUACACUCACUCACCAUAUUACUCUUCUGAUCUCCAUAGAGGAUUAUGUUUGUGAGCAUGUUAAUUGCAGUCUUCUAUUUAUGAAGUAGCCAUUCAUUGGUCCAUGUUUUGCUGAUCGACUCAGACAAAGUAUACAGUUUGCUUGAAUUUAUACUGUGAUAUGAAGCCAGGAUAAGUUUUAAUCAAUGGCAAUUAAAAGUUUUGUUUGAAUUGCUGAAGAUCUGAAGAAUCCACUCACCCAGAGAUCUUUUUAGUUGGUAUGUAUACAUGUCUAAUUUCUGAAGGUUUGAGUAUAUUGGACAAGACUAACACUUGGUGUGUGCUUCCUACCGAUGCUGACUGGGCAGAUCUGAUAUUGUUUGCAACUGGUGUCUAAGUUAAUAUGCAGUCUUUCCAGUGAUUUUGGAUAUGCAUAGAGAUUGCUUUAGUGAGCAUGGACACAUAUUUCUUAGUUACUACCUUCCCGUGCUCGCAAACCUUACCCGCCUCAUUUCUUAAUAGAUUGAUGAACAUCAAGUUCCCAGCCUGGUCCUUUUCUCCGUUGAAUAAAUGGAGAACAAAAAAAUGAAGUUUUUGUCUGCCAAAUGGUCAUUUGGCUACACCAUUUAUUCAGGUUAUGAGCCUGCUGAAACGGAUGUUAGCUACUGGUUAGGAAAGAAUUAGUUCUUGGUCGUUUUCUGGCCUUGCGUAGUUCAACUGUUUCCACUGUUCCCUUUUGUUUUGGGGUGUUGGCCAGUCAUUUCUUUGUCGUACUUUGGCGCUUUGGCCCUUCUGUUAUUCUAUGAAGUUUACAUGCAGCUCUCCAGUAUGGUUUCAGAUUAUCCUGGUUCCAGGUUAAGAUUGUUUGUAGAGUAAUCAUACAUCAAUAGUGUAUGUGCGGUCUGUAUAAAAUGGAUAGGCGUAGGUUUUCUUAACCAACUUGCUGCGCAUUAUUGGUUCCAGGUGAAAUAUAUUUUUCCUGCAUCUUACACCAAGGGAGAUUCAGGGGAAAAAGUGAGGUGCAUAACUAUAACAACAAGUCAGGCAAGAUACCGGUGGUGUAGGCUUCAACAUUCAGUCGUUGUGGCCACAAUGCACUUUUAUUUCAUAAUAUACCCUGCAUGUUUUAUAUUUGAGAGGGAAUUAGAUUUAGCCUAGCCGUGCCAUCCAUCCCAGAUGCUAAUAAAUUGUGUAACUACCUAAGUUCCUUUUUGACUGCAGAAAUAGCAUCGACUGCAAACAUGGAGUAUGUUUUACAUGUUUUUUUGUUGUUGAAAAAAGUAUGCUUUUCAUCUUAACCAUACACUCGACAAAAAAUGCUAUUUUGCCAAAGAAUUUCUUGUUAGCUGUGGUAUUUAAGCUCAGAGUUACUAACUCAAUGAGGUGUAUUAUAAAUUUGGAGGUACUCAUUUUUUUCCACAUACAGAAAUGUAUUUGACACCUCUGAGCAUCUACGGAUCUUGCAAUUGGUAGAUAGCAUUUGCCUUUUAAAAAUUUUCUUUGAGACCAUGUGAGUCCGAAGAUAAAUUGUUUAAUAGUGAAUGUUGUUAUAUUUAUGCAAGUUGGAUGCUAUGGUGGCGAUGGUGGUCGGGGGCUCCGAUGCGGAGGCCCGCAAGGGGGAAACGGAAGGUGGCGGAGAAGGGAAGGUCAUGGCCGGGAAGCAAGUUAGGCGCCACCGUAUGGACAGGAAAGAGGGCGCUCGGAGGUACCUAGGAAAUCGGGAGGGGCUGAGCAAGACGGCCAAGGGUGUCGCCAAGGUUUUCGGCGUCUAGCCGUCCACUCCUUGAGGUAUAUUCCUGUUUUUUUACAUGAACCACCAUCUCCAAAUCUCCAUGUCCACGCCCAUAGUUUUGAUCCAUUUCACUAUUUUGAUCCAUGGCCUCCAUGUUGUUCAUCUCCCAACUGCUGAAUGGAUGUGCCUUGAUCUACCUCUCGACUAGAACCACAAUUAGUCAUUGGGUCAAUCACAGAACCUAUCAGCAGGACAUUAUUUCCUCUACCUGUACUUGACGUGUUAGUUGUAAUGCAAAUUAGGAUCAACACUAAUACAGUAUCUAUGUGAUUAAUUCUAGAAUUUGUAUACUGAUUUUGCAGGAUCAUUUUGACAGUAUAUUAUUUCUAUUUAACUCUUUAAUGUCUUGGUGUACAUCUUUGUUUUCAUUCUCUAUAGUGGGCAACAAUAUGCUCUGUGUGCAUAAACACUUAUAAAUUUGAGUUGGUACGUUGUGUUUCAG
rnacentral:lncRNA from 1 species